rnacentral:rRNA from 1 species
GACGAACGCUGGCGGCGUGCUUAACACAUGCGAGUCGAACGGAAAGGCCCGGCUUUUGUGGGUUGCUCGAGUGGCGAACGGGUGAGUAACACGUGAGUAACCUGCCCUUGACUUUGGGAUAACUUCACGAGACUGGGGCUAAUACCGGAUAGGAGCUCCUGCUGCAUGGUGGGGGUUGGAAAGUGUCGGCGGUUGGGGCUGGACUCGCGGCUUCUCCGCUUGGUGGUGGAGUAGUUGCUUACCAAGGCUUUGACGGGUAGCCGGCCUGGGAGGGGGGCCGGCCACAAUGGUCCUGAGGUACGGCCCAGUAUGCUACGGUAGGCAGCGGUGGAGAACAUGGCACAAUGGGGCGGAGUCUGAUGCAGCAACGCCGCGUUCGGGAUGACGUCUUUCGGGUUGUAAACCGCUUUCGACUGUGACGAAGCGUGAGUGACGGUACUGGGUAAAGAAGCCCCGGCUAACUACGUG